UUUUGCAUGCACUCGAGAGCUAAGUGGUGGGGGACGGUGGCCCUCGAGCUCAAGGAUCGGGCAAUGGCAACGCUAGGGCUACAGUGCGGAAGUUGAAAGAGCAGAUUAUACAGGUGAAAUGGAAGGAUGUUUUGCUCCAUUAUUUAUAGCCACGGUGUAGUUAAACACUAGCGAGAUUAACGGGAAUAUUCCAUUUUUAAAAGCUCGAAGAUUUCGGACCUGCCUGACAGUUUCCAUUAUUUUCAGAAGAGAUAAAGUUAC
rnacentral:lncRNA from 1 species